GAUGAACGCUGGCGGCGUGCCUAAUACUUGCAAGUCGAGCGAACAGACGAGGAGCUUGCUCCUCUGACGUUAGCGGCGGACGGGUGAGCAACACGUGGAUAACCUACCUAUAAGACUGGGAUAACUUCGGGAAACCGGAGCUAAUACCGGAUAAUAUAUUGAACCGCAUGGUUCAAUAGUGAAAGACGGUUUUGCUGUCACUUAUAGAUGGAUCCGCGCCGCAUUAGCUAGUUGGUAAGGUAACGGCUUACCAAGGCGACGAUGCGUAGCCGACCUGAGAGGGUGAUCGGCCACACUGGAACUGAGACACGGUCCAGACUCCUACGGGAGGCAGCAGUAGGGAAUCUUCCGCAAUGGGCGAAAGCCUGACGGAGCAACGCCGCGUGAGUGAUGAAGGUCUUCGGAUCGUAAAACUCUGUUAUUAGGGAAGAACAAAUGUGUAAGUAACUAUGCACGUCUUGACGGUACCUAAUCAGAAAGCCACGGCUAACUACGUG
rnacentral:rRNA from 1 species